UAAUUAAGAAAAACAUUUCAUCUCAAACCUAAGGACCAUUUCCACGCUCAGUACUCCCUCUUCUUCCCUCAGCUUUCCCUGCGUACUCUCUCACCUCCUCAUUCUUCUUCUUCUUCAUCUGCUCUCUUUCUCUCUCUAAUUCGUGGUUUUUUUGGGUUUUUUGCAAGUAAUUGUUGAAAUUGGGUGACAAUUCGUCUUGGUUUUUGUGAAAAUUUGCUCGACUCCUUCUCUCCAAGCAUCUGGCCUUCGACCUCAGCCUUCGAACUCAGCCGCCGUCGAACUCAGCCGUCGAACUCAGCAACUCAGGCGUUGCUCGGCCCUGCGUCGCUGUCUUCGCCGAUGGGUUGUUUUUCCUGGGAAAAUAUUCAUUCAAUUGAGAAACAAACAUUGUGUUCCUUUUUCAAUGGGAAGGUGGAAAAUCGGACUCCGGAUGUCUACAAGGAGAUACGGACUUGGAUUAUGAAGAGGUUUCAUGCCAAUCCAAGCACAAACAUUGAACUGAAAGAUCUGUCGGAGCUGUUUAUUGGGGAUAUAGAUGCAAGAUGUUGACAAGGCAGAGCAAAUAGACUCUUUAAUUGAAAAGUUUUAUCAGUUACAACAUAAGCAAUCCUCUGUACUAUUAGUUCCAAGAGCCAACGUGUCAACAGCGGCAGUGCCUUCAGGCCUAUUUCCGGAGUCGAUCACAGAAGAGUUGGUAGAACAAGAGGGACCUGCAGUUGAGUAUCAUUGCAACUCUUCUUCUGUUGAUUGUUCUUGCAGUUGAGCAGGUGGAGUUUCUCUGAUUUGGCUGUUAUUUCUGAGAUCUUUGUUUGAUUUUUAUUAUGCUAAGUAGACUCUUAAUUGAUUUGAGAAUCUGAAUCCUUUGUGGUUGAGUUAGACUUUGUUGUGUUUCUUCAAUUGAUAUGCAUGUUUGGACUUCUUUCUCCUUCGUCAAGAACUAUAGAUACCCAAUAUAGAUGUCAUUGUCGGUCAGGCCUAGAUAGAUGGGUGUUUUCUUGUCUUUCUGGAGUUUGGACUAGU